rnacentral:rRNA from 1 species
AAUGUUGACCUCGGAUCAGGUAGGAAUACCCGCUGAACUUAAGCAUAUCAAA